GGUCAUGCUUUUCCACAGCUUUCUUGAACUUUCUUUUGUUAUAUAACUCUGUUAGCUAAUCGAUUAAAGCUAUACAGCUGAUCUUUAUAUAUAUAGAGCAUAUUUAUAUAGGAAAGCUCAAGAAAGCUGUGGGAGAACAUGGCAA
rnacentral:pre_miRNA from 1 species